GCGCGCCGCCGCGCAGCUGCCCGCGGACGUGCGCGCGCUCUGCCAGCAGGAGCCGGUAGCAUUCAGUACUCCGCCCCCGACCGCGGCGGUCCCCCAGGCGGUCCCGCCCCCAGCCGCCCCCGUCCCGCCGCCCACAGCCGUCGAACCUUUACCGCCCGGAAUGGAAUAGUGGUCAAACAACCUUAUGUGGUAUAUCAUGGACCUAUACCUUGCCGAACCCCGCGAAAACUGAGUGAAGACAGUGUGAAAUUGAUAAUAAUGUGUAAUAAUAAUAGAUGUUAUAAUUUUCAGCAUUUUUGGGUAACGAUAUUCAUAAAAUUGUAUCGAUCGUUUCCAUUUAUAAUUUGUAAUAGUUUUGUGUCGACUUUGGAUUGUUCAAAUCUGUUUUCUCAUAGAGUGGGGUCAAUUGAAAGAGAUACAAAUAAUACCAGCUUAUAAUUCUCACGGUAGAGCAGGCCUCUUUCCAUAUUUUGAAUUCAGACUACGAAUAAUUAACGAACGCCUUAAUCAAUUUGCCAGAUUAAAGAUACAUUAUAUGUAAAUUAGAAUAUAUAAUUUUGUUACGUUUAAUAUUCAAAUAUAAACCACAAGCAAUAAAAUGAUUUGAAUUACGAACGCUCAUGUAAAAAGGUAUUUACUAUGUAUAUUUUACGACUACGGUUUUGAAAAUAAAUGUAGAUUUUAAGGU